CCGCGUACGGCUCAUUAAAUCAGUCGUGGUCCAAAUGGGCCAGUGCUUAUCCUACUUGGAUAACUGUGGUAAUUCCAGAGCUAAUAUAUGCAACUCAUACCCCGAAGGCCGCGCUCUUGCAGUGUGCGCUGGACGGGUGCUUUUAUUAGACCAAACCGCUGAGGGUGUGUUAGCCUCCCGGGGCGCACGCUUGACUCGCAUGAUGGUGACUCUGGAUAACCUUUGACAAGCGCACGUACCACUCUUUUGAGCGGACGGCGCUGCCACUUUCGAGUGUCUGCCUUAUCAGCUAUCAACCGUUCGUUACGUGCGACCGAUGGCUUUGACGGGUAACGGGGAAUCAGGGUUCGAUUCCGGAGAGGCAGCCUGAGAGACGGCUACCACGUCCAAGGACGGCAGCAGGCGCGCAAAUUACCCAAUCCCAGCUUCUGGGGGAGGUAGUGACGAAAUCUAACGAUGCGGGCGCCCUUUCUAGGGCCCCGCAAUCGGAAUGAGCACUUUCUAAACAACCUGUUGAGAACCUACUGAAGGGCAAGUCUGGUGCCAGCAGCCGCGGUAAUUCCAGCUUCAGCAGCAUCUAUUAAAGUUGCUGCGGUUAAAAGGCUCGCAGUUGAAUGUCAGUGCCGGGCGCAGGUUAGGUGGACGCUGGGGUGUGAGAACCAACACGGCACGGGCUUCGUCUGGAUGCUUGUCAGCUUGCUGGCCUUCCAGGGGUGGCACCGACCGUGUCUCACAAACUCCCGUCCGUGACAAGCCUCCUCGCCCGCGUACAUAUGGGGAAUUGGUUUCGGAGGCGUGCGAACGGCGGCUUCUCUCACGUGUGUGCUGGCUCACGCUGGCCAUACCUGGGGUUGUGUCAGCCACGUGCGUUCUCUUUGUGGUUUCAGAGUCACCUUGAGUAAAUCAGAGUGCUCAAAGCAGUCGUAGGGGCCUUGCGCCCUGUGAAAAGUCUUGACGGACUGACUGGUUAUGCAUGGCAUGUCGGAAGACGACGUCGCGUGCUGGCUCAGAGCUUGAUCAGUGGUAUAAGCCAGCCGCGACGUACUGAUUAAAAGGGACGGUCGAGGGCAUUGGUAUUGCGAGGCGAGAGGUGAAAUUCUAUGACCCCCGCAAGACCUCCUGAAGCGAACGCGUCUGCCAAGGACGUUUUCAUUAAUCAUGAACGAAAGUUAGAGGAUCGAAGGCGAUCAGAUACCGCCCUAGUUCUAACCCUAAACGAUGCCAACCAUCAAUCCGCGCGUAGCACCCUUUUUAACGGGCUCGGCGGGCAGCUCCUUACCCACGGGAAACCAGAGUCUCUGGGUUCCGGGGGGAGUCUGGUUGCAAAGCUGAAACUUAAAGGAAUUGACGGAAAGGCACCACCAGGCGUGGAGCCUGCGGCUUAAUUUGACUCAACACGGGCCAUCUCACCAGGCCAGCACUCUUGUACGAUUGACAGAUUG
rnacentral:rRNA from 1 species